rnacentral:rRNA from 1 species
AUUGAACGCUGGCGGCAGGCCUAACACAUGCAAGUCGAACGAGUGGCGGACGGGUGAGUAAUGUCUGGGAAACUGCCUGAUGGAGGGGGAUAACUACUGGAAACGGUAGCUAAUACCGCAUACCAUCGGAUGUGCCCAGAUGGGAUUAGCUAGUAGGUGGGGUAAAGGCUCACCUAGGCGACGAUCCCUAGCUGGUCUGAGAGGAUGACCGGUCACCCGGGAACUGAGACACGGUCCAGACUCCUACGGGAGGCAGCAUUGGGGAAUAUUGCGCAAGGGACGCAAGCCUGAUGCAGCCAUGCGGCGGGAAUGAAGAAGGCCUUCGGGUUGUAAAGUACUUUCAGCGGGGAGGCGUUACCCACAGAAGAAGCACCGGCUAACUCCGUGCCAGCAGCCGCGGUAAUAC